UGCCAGCAGCCGCGGUAAUACGAAGGGUGCUAGCAUUAUUCAAAAUUACUAAACAUAAAGAGCAUGUAGGCGGAUGAAUUAGUCAGAGGUGAAAGCCCCGAGCUCAACUUGGGAACUGCCUUUGAUACUGUUUAUCUAGAGUCCGAGAGGUUAGUGGAAUUCCCAGUGUAGAGGUGAAAUUCGUAGAUAUUGGGAAGAACACCAGUGGCGAAGGCGGCUAACUGGCUCGGUACUGACGCUGAGAUGCGAAAGCGUGGGGAGCAAACAGGAUUAGAUA
rnacentral:rRNA from 1 species